CCAAACUAUCCCACGAAUCACGUACUUUCAUGUUACUAGUUACUGAACCAACAGGAUCUGUAUUACUCAUGAGAAAUAAAGCAGGGGAAGUCUAAUAGAUCUGCAGCAACUAACUAAAAGAAAAGCUUUCCAAAUUAAAUCAUAUAUGAUGCAAAUAAAUCAACGAUUAAAUAA